CAUUUUUUAAAAAUUUACCAAAAAACAUUUUAAAAUGAAACAUGUUUAAAACAUUUUUAAAGUGUUAGAAAAUAAACCAUUUAAAACCUAAAUGUUAAAUAAAUGUUUUAUAAACAUGUAAAAGUUAACGUCUUUCACUGCGCGCGUCAUAAGCCCGCUGAUGACGAAAUUUUUUAAAACACCUCAAAAUUUUAUUUGCGUACCUUUGCGGCGUAGAUACUGAUAAUCCUCACAAAAAACAUUUUAAAUACUUUGUUAUAUAUUUUCUUAUCACUAGGUUUGAUAUUCUAAAAUCAUUCGCAGUUUAUAAAACAUCUAUGCUACGUAACUAAAUAUUUCCUAUUCUCCUUAAUGCGUGUACUCCCAUGAUUCCACGCGGCGCGAAAUUUUGUCUGCUGCUUACGACACGCGUGCUUUGCGAAAAACAUUGGGUUGUAAAACUCUUAUAUACCGUGUUCUAGUACAACACAGACUUAAUGUAUGCUUUUAGGUGUGAUUUGUCAAACAAAGUUUUCGUUUUGAAUAGUGCGCUCGUACAUAAUCUAAGACGUUAAGGCAACUGAUGUCCAAAUCAUGUCGUACUACUGGACGAAGCGGAGUAAAUAAAAUUGUUGAAGCAGAGUUGGCGGAACAGAAAGAAAAAGACAGAUCCGAUACAAACAAUGGAGUCACACAAAUAUGGCAGCAGACUUGCCACCAAGUAAGGUGACAAAACAUGUGAAGGAGGGAACUCUGCCAGACAGGUGAAUGCACUAACCACCAGAAUAUUGGCAUCAUCACGAGAGCACCCCAUUGAUGCUCUGCAAGGAGAACAAGAAGAGACAAACCUCAAACUGCAGCAGUAGAAGGCAGUAUCCAGGGAGUGUCUAACGCAGAUCAGAAGCCUCUCUUGUGUGGGUGGUACGGAUGCAAAGGAUGGCCUGAAAAGGAUCAUGCGGCGAAUCUUGGCCGACAAGGUUUUAUAACUAAAGGCCAAAGAGGAGAAAAGUGUGCAUUCAAGGGGCUUUCAAAGGUGCAGACCAUGAUAUGCAAAGCCGUACAGAAGAACAAUGGGUGCAUGGAGGCUUCAGAUAAUAUAAUCGAAGAAAGCAGCAGCAGAAAGAGUCGGGGUAGAAAGCAGAGGAGAGAAAGAAACUAAAUGCUAGCAUAUUUCAAGGAAGUGACAACUGUGUUUCUGUGCCCUGUGAAUUUACUGGAAUAUUAUGGCAGAAUUGUGUAGCUACAUUUCCUCGUUGGGAUUUGGCAAAAAGAGACUUCCAAGAAAUUGAAAGUAAAAACUGUGACAUUGUUAUUAUCCUCAUCUUCAAUUAAGGCCAGGCACCUGAGGUAAAAACUUUUUAAGUUAUUUAAAUAUGGCAGAUAAGCAUCAGAAUUAACUCUUUGAUUAUUUAUUACUAGAAUAGUAAUACAUGUAUCUCAGAAAAUAGAGAAGACCGAAGAUUCAUAAAUAAUACCUCUUUCCGACCGUACAUAAGAAAACCUAAAGCAUUGAUGACGAUCACUUAGGUCCUUACAAAUGCAUGAAAGGUCCUUACCUGGCACCAUCCCUGAUUCCUGGGAACCCUGGAGAAGUGCAGCACCAACACGAUAUCCCUAUUCUUAGUUAUCAUAGGACAAACUGAUCAUGUUCUAAAUAAAUUUCUUAAAGCCUCUUUACAAGAAGUACAUGAACCUUGUUCAGCUUUGCUUUACAGAGUUUUGUAACACUAAAAAGCCUGGUUAAUUGGAAUAUGUCUAUUGUAUAAGGAUAGAGAUUUGAAUGUUGUUAUCUACAGAUGGAUAUGACCAUAUUUUUGUGUAUUUUGUGCAUCAUUCAAAUGUACAUUUGCAUUUCACUCUUUUUUAUAGUAAAUCUAAAGUUCUAUUUAAUUUUAGUUUAAUUAUUCCUUGCGACUCCCAAUGGAGCACGGAGCCCCAACAUCUCUCCUUUAAUCAUUUGAAAUUGAAAUAUUUAAAAGUCUGUUCAUUUAAGAAAAUUCCUUUGCUUUCAUUUAUCACUGUUUAAUUAAUUCCUAUACUUUUUUCUCUUUUUUCUUUUUUAUGUAUCAUUGAUUCAUCGUUAUCACAAAUGGUCACCAUUUGUUGUACAAGUAACAUAAAUUGUUAUUGUAUGAUGUAAAUGUUUUCUGGGUUUAUACUGAAUGACAUUAAUUAAAUAUGUUUUCAUGAAAAGGAAAUGAAAA
rnacentral:lncRNA from 1 species